AAAAUAAUUUACCGACCAAAUAGGUGGUAAGAGACACGACACAUCUAUUUUUAAACAAAAAGAAACAGAAAAGGAAAAAAAAAGCUUUGUCGACGAUUUCAAUCAUCCCCACCAUGCCGAUUGACGAUUCAGAAAGCAACAUCAAAACCAGUAAAAUCUUUACCGAUACCUUGAAGAUCUUCAACGAUGAUGGUAGCAGAUCGAUCGACGCUUCUUUCCCCAUCCAUGGCGAUUGACGAUUCAGAAAUCAAUUGAAGGUUCAGAAAUCAAAAUCAAAACCAAUAAAAACUGUAACGAUGGCUUGAAGAUCUUCGACGAUGACGGUAGCAAAUCGGGUUUGGAAACAAAAUCAAACCACGAAGUUUGAAACUCGUUAGAUCCAGGAAAGACUUCUCAUAUUCCUCACUCUUAAGAUCCGAAGGCUUCAGUGAGAAAAAUGUUAAGUGAUAUUUGGGUUUCAAUUUGGCGAUUGCAGAAAUCUUUGGCCGAUUUGUGAUCAGAAUUGAAAGACAAUUAAACGGUAAAUAUAAUUUAAAGUUUUUAAUCAUUUGUUAAAAGUUAAUCUCGGAGUUUUAUUCACCAAAUAUAUUCAUGUAACAUUUGUUCUGGUUUUUGUUUCCGGUGAGAUUGGAAUGGUUUCUAAGAAUCCGACGAAGAAUCCGACGAAGUUCUGAAGCGGAACAUGUCAUUCUUCACUGUUAAAAGUUUAAAGACACAUGUUUGUGCAGCUGAAGGACCAUGAGACAAAUACAUAACGCCAAAGCAAUACGAACCAAUAAGUUAGUGCAUUUUAGAGGUUCAAAUUGUUUAGAUUAGAUUGCGAACUGAUAAUAGUAGUUAGGAUAAAACCGGAGCUGUUUGAUGAAUGUUGAAUGA